CUACUUUGACAUUAUUAUUUCUCUCUCUCCUAAUUUUCCUCUCUAAUCUAAUUAUGCACUUGCUGUUUUUAUUUUUCCUAAAAAUUAUACUAUAUUCUCUCUCUCUUCCAUCUUUGCUUUCUCUCUCGAUCCCUUUUUCUCUCCAUUCUCUCCCACUUUAUCUCUCUCAAUCUCUCAUAUUUUUCUAUGUAAUUUUUUUUCACUUCUUUCUCUCCAGACUCCAAUGACAUGCUUUCUCAAAUGGAGCUUCAACCUAUUUGAAUUUUUUCCUCAAGAAAGUCAUUUUUUUCUCUGAAAUUGCUUGGUCCCCAUAAUCGUAAAUCUCAUUAGCAUAACUAGAGGAUGUUUGCAUGAAUUGAAUCCACCUGAAAGAGAGGUAAGAUGAUUCUGCGAAUUUCUCUGUGUGUUGGUGGUUUUUCUGAGUUAAUUUUUUUGUUUUGUUUAAGUUUUUAUGAUUUUUUUUUUUUGUUUUUAAUGCUGCAAAACAUGAUUCUUCUUAUCCUCAUUCUAAGUGACAUGAGUUUUAUUGUUCACUUUGCAAAGGAAAUAAAUUCUUUGGAAAGACCUUCCCUAAACUUUCCUUUGAAAUUUUCCCAGACAAGAAGAGGCAGUUUGGAUUCGGCAAUUAAAAAUUACAAAUUUUUGGUUCAAAUUUUCAAGUUAAUAUCAAUAGAAAGUUUUAAUUUUCAAGAAAUUUGUUUGCCUGGUCUGUUGGGAAUGAAUUCCAUCACUUGAGAGCAAAUGUUUGAUUCCUUAUUAUUUUUGAGAUAAAAUGCAUCGUAGGUGUUUGAUAAAAUGUCCAUGCAUAAAAUUUGGUGUUUAGAACUGUUAAGGAUUUGUAGUAAGUGUUAUACACUUUGUGUUUUAUUUUGUUUUCCUAUACUAUUUUUUUGAUUACUGAUAAAAAUUAUAUUGAUAAUUUAGGAUGAAGAUGAUUCAUUGCACUUUGUGGGAUGAUUUUGCAGUUAGAUGCAUCGAUUUAUGGAGAGCCACAAAUCAUCUGAACCAGUUGUCGUGAUACUUUGGUUAGUAAUUAUUUUUAUUGAAAUAUCUGCUUAUAUCUAUUACGAAUAAAAUGCAACAAUCUAAACCCUAAUCUCAUAUAUACAAGGGCGGGAAACAAUUAAUUAAUACAUCUGCCAACUAACUCAUACUACCUAUGUAGAAAACGGUUUACAAUGCUGCCAUAACUAAUCAAUUUGGUGGAUGUAUUUAUUGAAUUUUGCCACUUACCAAUGCCUAAUUAAUAGUGUUUGUUUGUUUCUUUUUUUUGGUUGAUAGACAAAAUGGCAAAGCCAUUGAAAACUCACACACACAAAGUGGAGUGACCGGGGUUCGAACCCCGGUCCCGACGUCCGACACUAGCAAUUUCGGCAUUUCUGCCAGUUGAGCUAGGAUUUGUGGACAGUGUUUGUUUGUUUCUAUUUCCUAAAAAUAUGGUAUUUCUCUUUCAUUAUGAUGCAUUGAUGCGUGUAUCUCUUGAAUUACCCUCUCCUAUUUUGAAAACUAAUCAUCUCAUUUCUUUCUCCUUUCUUUCGCAUCUUAUUUUCUUUGUGCAAAUCCUUUUCUAUUCAUGUGUACAAUUCAUUGCCACCAGUUCAACAAGGACAAGAGGUCCGAAAAUCUUCAUAUUUUUUUCACAAUAGCUUAUGUUGCCGUGGUAUUAGUU
rnacentral:lncRNA from 1 species